UCCUAUCUUUUUCAUUUCAUUUUUCUUAACUAACAAAAUCAAAACAGAGAGAGGCAAGAGAGAGAAAAUUUCGGCUAAUUAAAAGAGAAGAGAGAGAAGUUGGAUCUUGAUGCACCCAAAGUUUAUCACAUACUUUGGUAAAGUAAAAAGAGUAGCAAGUAAAUCAAGGUAUAUACUCUAAUUUUAAAGCUUUUAUUUCCAUUUGUUUUGAUUGUUUAAUGGAAUAUGGAGUUGGUGUUUUUCAACUUAAAAACUAUAGAUCUAUAUGAUUUAUAGUGUUACAUGUUUAGAUCUAACAUAUUUGAGUGUUAAAAAAUGGAUUGAAAGGAGAGAAAAGAAACUAGUUUUUUUUAGUUAGAAAACCUUAACUUUCUCUUCCUUUGAUCAAUUACCGUUUUAGAUCUACAACUCCUUUUUGCGAUCCGCCAAAGAGAUGUGAUAGAUAUGUAAGUUAACUACUAAACCCAAGUAGUAGCACUCAAAAAUAAUGUUUUUACAAGUAGUAGUGACUGUUUUAGUCAAAACAGUUCGGGUAGUGAAGAAAAAGGCAAUAAAAGUUUCUGGCUAGACUUUUCCAAGGGCAUUUUCGUCCACUUCUGUUGCUUUAAAAAUUUCGAGAAAAUUUGGGGUGUUAAUAUGAUGAGUUAACUGAGUUCUGUAAAAAGAUGGGAAUUUUUAGAUGUAUAGAAUGGAAGAUAUGGAUUAUACGAGAAAGUACUAUUAUAAAAGUAAACUUGAAUAACUCUUUGUGGUUAACUCUAAAAAUUACAGGGACUACAUAUAUAUGACUAGAACAUACCCUAAAAAUUUCAAAAGUUUUGGGCAAAAACUCAAUUUAUGAAAAAUGCUGCAAAAUUUGACUGUUUUAGACGAUUUAAAAAUAAUAAAUGAAUUUUCAAAAUUCUAGGAAAAAUAUAUUUUCAUAAGGGGAUCAUAUACUAUUGAUUUCCAGAAAAGAGAUAUUUUUGGAGAUGUUUUGGUAUUUUUCAUAUAAAUGAUGAUAUUAUGGAUAAAUGAAUUUAAUUAUUUGUGAUGUUAAAAAUAUGGAAAAUGAGAUUUUAUGACUUGAGAACCCUAAAUAUGGUUAAUGCAUAUUUUUAGUAGGGUUUUGGAUCACUUGUGAUGAGAUAGUAUGUUUUUGACAUUUUAGGAAGAUUAAAUAGAAUAAAGAGAAGUAAAUUUACUUUAAAUAUAGUGUGUUGAAUUAAAUAUUCAACAGAGACUAUAUAUUAUGUAUAUGGUAUGCUGAAAAGGGCAAUUCGGUUUACUGGAUUUGACAAUCCAGUUUGCUGAAUUUAAAAAUUCGGUUUACUGGAUUUAGGAAUUCGGUUUGCUAAAUAUAGGUAUUCAGUUUGCUGGAUUUAAGAAUUUGGUUUGCUGGAUUCAGGAAUUCGGUUUGCUGAAUAUAGGUAUUCAGUUUGCUGGAUUAUAAAGAAUAACUUAUAAAAUAAAACAUUAAGCGAUGAAGUGAUUGGUAUAAUAUCAUUUAAUAAUACUAAAACUCUAAUGUCAUGUUUAAUAUUUAACUAUGUGACUGAAUGUUAGACAAUUUAAUAUACAGUGAAUUAGUUAAAGUUCUUUCAUUCAUGAACUGUUUAAGAUAUGGAUCUAUGCUAAUUGUAUUAGCUAGAUCAAAUAUGUUUAAAUUAGUUAAAUCAAAUAUGUUUUAAAAGUUGUUCUUCACCAGUUGAUUUGGUAAGGACUCAAGAUUGAGAAAAAAAACAAUUUGAUUAAAGCAUUAUUGUAAAACAAUUAUUGCUCGUAUAUCAAGUGUUUAUGCAUAAUACAAGGUUGAUCCCUUUGAUUACCAAAACUUAUUGAAAGGACCAGUCUAAAUACUAACAAACUUAACAUAUGUUCAUGGUCAUUAUGACCACUCAACAUCUAUUAUUCAAUUAUUCGAAUAUUCAGUUAUCAAGACUUAAUUCAUGUUCUUUCACAAUUGAUUUCUAUUGUUGAACAUCGAACGAUAAAUUCCUUGCUAAUCAUGAUAUAUCUCCCUUGUAUUUAAACUUGCUAAGCAAAUUCGUUGCUUACCAUUGCUAUAUCAUGACAUUUAUUUCAGCUAAGCCAGAGACGUCCAAGAAGGACAAAGGCAAAGUGCAGGAAUAGAUAAUGCGAAUGUUUAUGUAUUAUAUUAUAUUAUGUACAUUGGUGUUGUAAACAUUGUGUUACUAAGGGUAACUUAAGUAAGGUAUGUUUAAG
rnacentral:lncRNA from 1 species